UAAAUAAUUCCUCCGUCCAAAAAAGCUUGUCCCACAAAUAGAUGUAUCUAGCACCAAGUUAGUGCUAGAUACAUCCAUUUGAGGGACAAGCUUGGGACAAAUUUUUUUGGAUGGAGGGAGUACUAA
rfam:Triticum aestivum genome assembly, contig: Triticum_aestivum_CS42_TGACv1_scaffold_377651_5AL